rnacentral:misc_RNA from 1 species
GAUGAAGAACGUAGCGAAAUGCGAUACGUAGUGUGAAUUGCAGAAUUCAGUGAAUCAUCGAAUCUUUGAACGCACAUUGCGCCCGCCAGUAUUCUGGCGAGCAUGCCUGUUCGAGCGUCAUUUCAACCAUCAAGCCCCAGGCUUGUGUUGGAGCCCUGCGGCUGCCGCAGCCUCCCAAAACCAGUGGCGGGCUCGCUAUCACACCGAGUGCAGUAGUUUACUCUUCGCUCAGGGCGUGUGGCGGGUGCUAGCCGUGAAACCCCCAACUUCUCAAGGUUGACCUCGGAUCAGGUAGGAAUACCCGCUGAACUUAAGCAUAUCAAUAAGCGGAGGA